AUAGGUAUACAAAUUCAUAUCUU
rnacentral:snRNA from 1 species